rnacentral:rRNA from 1 species
AACGAACGCUGGCGGCAUGCCUAACACAUGCAAGUCGAACGGGAUCCUAGCUUGCUAGGUGAGAGUGGCGGACGGGUGAGUAACACGUGGGAAUCUGCCUUUUGGUUCGGGAUAACCGCGGGAAACUGCGGCUAAUACCGAAUGCCCUCGAGAGAGGAAAGAUUUAUCGCCAGAAGAGGAGCCCGCGUCCGAUUAGGGUAGUUGGUGGGGUAAAGGCCUACCAAGCCGACGAUCGGUAGCUGGUCUGAGAGGAUGAUCAGCCACACUGGGACUGAGAUACGGCCCAGACUCCUACGGGAGCAGCAGUGGGGAAUAUUGGACAAUGGGGCAACCCUGAUCCAGCAAUGCCGCGUGAGUGAUGAAGG